rnacentral:rRNA from 1 species
ACAUGCUGAGAACUUUCCAGAGAUGGAUUGGUGCCUUCGGGAACGUCAGACACAGGUGCUGCAUGGCUGUCGUCAGCUCGUGUCGUGAGAUGUUGGGUUAAGUCCGUAACGAGCGCAACCCUUGUCCUUAGUUACCAGCACGUAAUGGUGGGCACUCUAAGGAGACUGCCGGUGACAAACCGGAGGAAGGUGGGGAUGACGUCAAGUCCUCAUGGCCCUUAUAGGUGGGGCUACACACGUCAUACAAUGGAUGGUACAAAGGGUCGCCAACCCGCGAGGGGGAGCCAAUCCCAUAAAGCCAUUCGUAGUCCGGAUCGCAGUCUGCAACUCGACUGCGUGAAGUCGGAAUCGCUAGUAAUCGUGGAUCAGAAUGUCACGGUGAAUACGUUCCCGGGUCUC